UACGGAGGGGCUAGCGUUGUUCGGAAUUACUGGGCGUAAAGCGCACGUAGGCGGCUUUGUAAGUUAGAGGUGAAAGCCCGGGGCUCAACUCCGGAAUUGCCUUUAAGACUGCAUCGCUAGAAUUGUGGAGAGGUAAGUGGAAUUCCGAGUGUAGAGGUGAAAUUCGUAGAUAUUCGGAAGAACACCAGUGGCGGAAGGCGACUUACUGGACACAUAUUGACGCUGAGGUGCGAAAGCGUGGGGAGCA
rnacentral:rRNA from 1 species